AUCUUUGCACUUGGGGCAAUGACGCAGCUAGUGAGGUAUACCCGAGGCGUGUCAAUUGCUGGUUGAAAACUAUUUCCAAACUAAUGAGGUCUUUACAAGUCGUUGAUAUUGGUGGCAUUGGGAGACAAGUGUAGAAAGUGACGCCUGAUA
rnacentral:snRNA from 1 species